UGCAAAUGGACAGGAAGUAUUAUUAUUAAAUGUACACAAAGUUUGAGGCAAAAUUAAGGGAAGCACAUGUAUUUAUACAUUUUUCUGUAUUUUAACUUUUAAUAACUAAAUCUUUUACAUAAAGAUAAAAAACAAACAGUAUUUCUUUUAUUAUAAUUAAGAUAUAUCAAAUAUUCAAGAAAAUAUUACAUGUUUUUCGUCUUCUAUGUCAUCAUUACACAUGAAACACAUUCUUUCGUCUACAUUAUACAAACAAAACAUUACUUAAUUACAUUGUUUACAGAAGCUCCCAUAUCGCCUUAGUUAUUUCUGUGUACCUGAAAAUUUGUACUAAGGCAAACUGGGAUUAAUUUUAUAUAAUUAUUUUGACAGCUAAGGCGAAAUGAGAAUAAACCAUCAGAUGAUGAAUUUUCAGUUUAUAUAUAUUAAGUACGAAAAUGUCAAAUUAUAGUGUAAUGAGAUUUUGAGCCAUCUCAUUGAUCAGUAUGCUACAUAGUGCCCCCAAAUGACCAGUAUAAAACUAUCCAGCAAGAGAGAAAAGGGAUAGGUCAAUAUAAGAAACCUUAGUAACAAGGCAACUUCAGUUCAAUUUCAAAUGUCAGAGGGAAUAUCUUUUUAAAUGUGGUAGGAGUACCAAAGAGACAACUCUCCAUCAAGACACAGCGUAGUUAAAGUAAGCAAUAAUAGGUUAUAAUACAGCCUUCAACACAAAGGCCUGGCUCACAUUGGACAGCAUCCUACUAAGGCCUCUCUUUAGACCCAAAACACUGUUAUAAAACAAUUUAAACAGGAAAAAACAAAUAAGGUUCACGUAUUGCAUUUCUGAAAUACAAAUAAUAAUUAAUUGAUUAAAUUUCUUCACAAUUGCAUUUGAACUUCUAGAUUGACUUUUAAACAAACUUUAUCUUGCUUUCAAUAAUCUGCAUAAAGAGUUAUUUCAGACCGGUCAUCCUUUUUUCAUGAUAUUCCAAUAGCAAAAUCAGGGGAAAGCAAGAAAAUUUUACUUUAAAAUUUAAUUUUGAACAAUGGAGGACUGAAAUAAAACAAACCAUGUGCUGAUUACAAAAAAAUAAUCAACUGGUAGAGGAAAUCAUAAAUCAGCUAUUAGUUAAUAAAGUGUUAACUGUCAUGGAAAUUAAAAUGAAAAAUAAAAUAAAGGACAAAUUCACAAUAAAAAUAUUGUAUUUUCUCAUUAUAAAACUUUAGUCACAACUUUAUUUUGAUGAAUGUGAUAUGAAAUUUUACAUAAAAUUUAAAAAUUUAAAUGAGAUCAGAACACAACCAACUUAUCAAUCAAUUGCACUUCACAUGUAAGCACCAAACAUCUAUUCUGAAAUUCUUUUUUUAUCAUUUGUUGUAUCAGCAAUUUUGCAAAACAUAAAACCUUAAGAGCUCAGUUUUACAACUAUAAAAUACAGUUGUCUAAAAAAUUAUUUGGGUUUAAUUUAACUUGGAUUUACAUAAUUAUCUCCCUUGAAUAACAUAAAUUCAGUGGGACUUUUUUUCCAAAACAAAUAACAUAACAAACAAGAAUGUGUCCUCAGUACACAAAUGCCCCACUCGCACUAUCAUUUUCUAUGUUCAAUGGACCGUGAAAUUGGGGUAAAAUCUCUAAUUUGGCAUUAAAAUUAGAAAGAUCAUAUCAUAGGGAACAUGUGUACCAAGUUUGAAGUCGAUUGGACUUCAACUUCAUCAAAAACUACCUCGACCAAAAACUUUAACCUGAAGCGGGG
rnacentral:lncRNA from 1 species